rnacentral:rRNA from 1 species
ACGCCGUAAACGAUGAUUACUAGGUGUGGGGAGUUGAACCUUUCCGUGCCGGAGUUAACACAAUAAGUAAUCCACCUGGGGAGUACGACCGCAAGGUUGAAACUCAAAGGAAUUGACGGGGGCCCGCACAAGCAGUGGAGUAUGUGGUUUAAUUCGAAGCAACGCGAAGAACCUUACCAGGUCUUGACAUCGAGUGACGAGCUUAGAGAUAAGCUUUUCCUUCGGGACACGAAGACAGGUGGUGCAUGGUUGUCGUCAGCUCGUGUCGUGAGAUGUUGGGUUAAGUCCCGCAACGAGCGCAACCCUUAUUACUAGUUGCUACGCAAGAGCACUCUAGUGAGACUGCCGUUGAUAAAACGGAGGAAGGUGGGGAUGACGUCAAAUCAUCAUGCCCUUUAUGACCUGGGCUACACACGUACUACAAUGGCGCAUAACAAAAAGCAGCAAUACCGCGAGGUGGAGCAAAUCUCCAAAAUGCGUCUCAGUUCAGAUUGCAGGCUGCAACUCGCCUGCAUGAAGUCGGAAUUGCUAGUAAUCGUAGGUCAGCAUACUACGGUGAAUACGUUCCCGGGCCUUGUACACACCGCCCGUCAAACCAUGAGAGUUGGCAACACCCGAAGCCGGUAGUCUAACCGCAAGGAGGACGCCGUCGAAGGUGGGGUCGAUGAUUGGGGUU